UUAGGAAUUUUGGGCAAUGGGGGCAACCCUGACCCAGCAACGCCGCGUGAAGGAUGAAGGCUUUCGGGUUGUAAACUUCUUUUAGCAGGAAAGAACACAAUGACGGUACCUGCAGAAAAAGCACCGGCUAACUCUGUGCCAGCAGCCGCGGUAAUACAGAGGGUGCAAGCGUUAUUCGGAUUUACUGGGCAUAAAGAGCGCGUAGGCUGUUUGCUAAGUCUGAUGUGAAAUCCCUGGCCUCAAUCCAGGAACUGCAUCGGAUACUGGCAGACUUGAGUACAGGAGAGGAAAGCGGAAUUCCAGGUGUAGAGGUGAAAUUCGUAGAUAUCUGGAGGAACAACAGUGGCGAAGGCGGCUUUCUGGACUGAAACUGACGCUGAGGCGCGAAAGCGUGGGGAGC
rnacentral:rRNA from 1 species